rnacentral:rRNA from 1 species
AGAGCAAAUCUCAAAAAAACAAUCUCAGUUCAGACUGCAGGCUGCAACUCGCCUGCACGAAGUCGGAAUUGCUAGUAAUCGUAGGUCAGCAUACUACGGUGAAUACGUUCCCGGGCCUUGUACACACCGCCCGUCAAACCAUGAGAGUUGGCAACACCCGAAGUCGGUAGUCUAACCGCAAGGAGGACGCCGCCGAAGGUGGGGUUGAUGAUUAGGGUUAAGUCGUAACAAGGUACC